rnacentral:rRNA from 1 species
AGAGUUUGAUCCUGGCUCAGGAUGAACGCUGGCGGCGUGCCUAACACAUGCAAGUCGAGCGAUUCUCUUCGGAGAAGAGCGGCGGACGGGUGAGUAACGCGUGGGUAACCUGCCCUGUACACACGGAUAACAUACCGAAAGGUAUGCUAAUACGAGAUAAUAUAUAAUAGUCACAUGGCUUUUAUAUCAAAGCUCCGGCG